rnacentral:lncRNA from 1 species
AACCACGACAACGACAACGACAGCGACAACGACAACGACAACGACAACCACAACCACAACCACAACCACAACAACAACGACAACAACAACAACAACGACAACAACAACCACACACAACCACCACCACCACAACCACGACCACGACCACGACCACCACAACAACCACAACCACAACCACGACCACAACCACGACCACGACCACGACAACGACCACAACCACGACCACGACAACGACCACAACCACGACCACGACCACAACCACGACAACGACCACGACAACAACAACGACAACGACAACCACAACCACAACGACAACCACAACAACAACGACAACAACAACCACACACAACCACCACCACCACAACCACGACCACGACCACCACCACCACCACCACAACAACCACAACCACAACCACGACCACCACCACGACCACGACCACGACAACGACCACAACCACGACAAC